rnacentral:rRNA from 1 species
AUGGACAGCGAGGUGACCUGCGUCGACUUCUGGUGCAACGAGUUCGGCAUGCGGGUGCGGAUCGCGCUGCGUGAGCUAGGCGUGCCGUUCGAGUACAUCGAGGAGGACCUCCGCGUCCGCGAGAGGAGCGAACUGGUGCGGCGCAUGAACCCCGUCCACCGCUCGAUCCCCAUCCUCAUCCACCAUGGCCUUCCGGUCUGCGGCUCCGCCAACAUCAUCGAGUACAUCGACGAGGUAUGGGGCGAGGAAACCCGUUUGCUCCCCGGCGACCCGGCCGACAGGGCCGACGCCAGGUUCUGGGCUGACUUCAUUGACCACAAGGUGUUCAGCACCCAGACGAAGUUUUUCACCAGCAAGGGUGAGGAGAAAGAGGCGGCCAAGGAAGAGUUGGUCGAGCAUCUUAAACGUCUAGAGGAGGUGCUCGGGGACAAAUGCUUCUUUUCUGGCGAUGAAUUCGGGUUCUUGGAUGUCGUCUUCAUCCCAUUUUCAAGCAUGUUUUACGGGUAUGAGCAGCAUGGAGGGAUUGACUUAGAGGCGGAAUGCCCCAACCUCACGCGAUGGGAGAAGAGGUGCAGGGAAAGGGAGAGUGUAUGCGAGGUUCUUCCCGAUGGAAAGGUCCAGUACGAAUUACACAAGAAGUUUUACGGCAUUGAGUGA